rnacentral:tRNA from 1 species
UGGGAUAUAGCUCAGUUGGUAGAGUGCUUGCUUUGCAUGCACAAGGCCCUGGGUUCAAUCCCCAGCACCCCCC